rnacentral:rRNA from 1 species
ACUGCAUUUUUUUUACACAUGUGUUUUUCUUUUUUUUUGAAAACUUUGCUUUGGUGGGCCCAUGGCCUGCCAGAGAUUAAACUCAACCAAAUUUUUAUUUAAGUCAACUGAUUAACUAAUAGUCAAAACUUUCAACAACGGAUCUCUUGGUUCUCGCAUCGAUGAAGAACGCAGCGAAAUGCGAUAAGUAAUAUGAAUUGCAGAUAUUCGUGAAUCAUCGAAUCUUUGAACGCACAUUGCGCCCUUUGGUAUUCCAAAGGGCAUGCCUGUUUGAGCGUCAUUUCUCCCUCAAACCUUCGGGUUUGGUGUUGAGCGAUACGCUGGGUUUGCUUGAAAGAAAGGCGGAGUAUAAACUAAUGGAUAGGUUUUUUUUCCACUCAUUGGUACAAACUCCAAAAUUCUUCCAAAUUCGACCUCAAAUCAGGUAGGACUACCCGCUGAACUUAAGCAUAUCAAUAAGCGGAGGAAAAGAAACCAACAGGGAUUGCCUUAGUAGCGGCGAGUGAAGCGGCAAAAGCUCAAAUUUGAAAUCUGGCACUUUCAGUGUCCGAGUUGUAAUUUGAAGAAGGUAUCUUUGGGUCUGGCUCUUGUCUAUGUUUCUUGGAACAGAACGUCACAGAGGGUGAGAAUCCCGUGCGAUGAGAUGUCCCAGACCUAUGUAAAGUUCCUUCGAAGAGUC